GUGCUCACUUCAGCAGCACUAUACUAAAUUGGAUUGAUAACGAGAAGAUUAGCAUGGCCCCUGUGCAAGGAUGACACACAAAUUCGUGAAGCUUCCAUAUUAAAA
rnacentral:snRNA from 1 species